UACGGAGGGUGCAAGCAUUAAUCGGAUUUAUUGGGCGUAAAGGGCGCGUAGGCGGGAUUGUCAGUCAGAUGUGAAAUCCUGGGGCUCAACCUCAGAACAGCAUUUGAAACUUCAAUUCUAGAGGGUAGACGGAGAAACAGAAUUCCACAAGUAGCGGUGAAAUGCGUAGAUAUGUGGAAGAAUACCGGUGGCGAAGGCGGUUUUCUAGUUUAUACCUGACGCUAAAGCGCGAAAGCAAGGGGAUCAAACAGGAUUAGAAACCCGUGUAGU
rnacentral:rRNA from 1 species